GGGAGGGGCUCUGUUGGGUAAGAGGGUGGUGAGGUCACAGUUGUGAGCCCUGAGCAGAGGGCACAAGCAAUGGCAGGUGGCAGGUCCCAGCUCUGGUCAUCUGUGACUCCUCAGAAACAAGUGAUAUGUGCCCCCUGGUGUCCAGGCCUGGACACAACAUUAUGUGACAUGGUGACUAGAGCCCAUCAGAGAGAGUUCCUGCCUCCUCACUGCUGUGUCCACUGUCCCAUUCCUUCAGGCCAGGCCAGGUGUCCCCCUGUGUGACUUCCCAUCACCUCAGGACACACUGUGCUCUACUCAGGCUCCACAUAGUGCGUGUGUCCAUGGCUCCCUUGGCUAUUGAUGGGGCAGGACUAAGGUGGUGACCACACAGAUGAGGAUCAGCUCCAGAACAGUGAUGGGUCCACAUUGGCACCUGGCCAGUUCUGUGCAGGAGGCUGAUUUCUUUCCUCUGCUUGUUUACUUUCUGGUUUCAAAGUUAUCCUUUCCCAGAAGUUCCCUCAGCACUGAGAAGACAGGGAGCCCUUUUCUCCAGGUUGUGGGUAGACACUCUCGUGUGCCUUCCUAGGGGGGUUACACACUGACCAUCUUCGUCGUCUGUCACUACUUCCACCUCCGCGAAACAACAGUUCUCCACACCCUGUGCUUAGUACUUCCCUCCUAUGAUCUGUCCCCCCAGCACACAGACCCAAGUCUGCAGGAGCCCGGGUGUGGCACUGACCUCAGAGCAUGAAGGGCAAACCUGCAGGAAGCUCCAGGAGGGAAGGAGUGACAGCCGCGGGUGCUCUGACGGGGACCUCGUCGCAGACUUCAUGCGUCUGUCACCACUUGGACAACUGCUACCUCAAAGUGAAGGUCUGGUCCUUCAAGAAGGAAAGCCCAACAUGGUGCCCAGGGAAGCACCAUUAGUAGCCUGUUCCUGUGAACUUCAGACUCAUCUCAGUGAUGGAAUUAAACACAGAACUUCCAGGAUGGACUGACUAGGAGUCAGACUCAUCUCAGGGUGACCUUUUGCAGGUCCUCACUAAUUCUGAAGAAGAUAAAUAAGUACACCGAUAGCUCCGAGUCUGGAUAAGCAUUCAUUUGUAAGAAAUACAGUAAUCGUGUCGGCAUAUUAGAGACCGACGGAGGCUGAUGCUGCAUAGGAGCUACAAUCUGGGGAUGACAGCAGGAAUCAAAUGAUGAAGGGAUUUCCUGCUGAUCCAAUUUCUGCGACUUCUCCCUACAGAUGGACACUGCACACUGGAAACUACAGCAAGAUCGUUUCCAGUGUUCUCUAAAAUCCUAACCUGGAGACAGCAUUCACACCUGAAUAGCCAGAGGGAUGGACUGAAGCCUGAGGGAGGCAGGAACAGAGGGGAGAAAAGGUGGGGUAUGGUACGUGGCGGGGGGGGGGGUAUUGUCAGUGUAAGAAGCAGUUGUGACCACUUUUUUGUCAGCUGGUUCAGAGAAAGAGAAAAUUGUGUCUGUGACCAAGGUAGGUAUUAACAUAUCAGCUAUGGAUGUAUCAUUAGUACAAAGAGUUACAUUUAAUGGACGAGUAUGACUGUCAUCAUUUUCAGUUGAGACGAUAUUGUGAGAUCUUAGAAACCAUGGGUUUCUGUCCCGAUUCCUGGCAUAGAGCUCCCGAAGCCUUCAGCAUUUCCUAGGUGACAAGGCCACUAGGAGCAUUUUUGUUUCAGUGAGGCAACCCUAGAAAGGCUCCUGGCUGGGGGUGGUCCCCAGAAAGUCUCAGCCAUGACCAGACGCUUGGAAUAUCCAGCCUCCCCCUUGCUGCGAGGGGAGAAGAGCUGAAUGUGGAGUCAAUGGUUGAUUACGUCUACAUGAAGACUCAAUAAAAAUGCCAAAAUAUGGGAUUCAAAGACUCCCACAUAGGUGGACACAUUCAUAUAGGGAAGGUGACACACCCCAACUGCACGGGGACGGGAGCUCUUGUUUGGGGGCUCCUUUCAGACCUCUACCCAUGUGCUUCUUCGUCUGACCGUUCAUCCUACUCUUUCAGUAUCAUUCCGGGAACUGGCAAGUGGAAGUAAGAGUUGCCCUGAGUUCUGUGAGCAGCUCUAGCAAAUUAAUCAAACCUGCGGAGGGUUCACGGGAACCCCUGUUUGCAUCACGUUGGACAGAACUUAUGGGUUAACUACUAUUUGUUGUCGGCGUUGGAAUAGGAGUUGUCUCCUGGGACAGAGCCCCUAACCUGUGCAUCUGACACCAUUUCCAGGCAGAUAAGUUGAGUGUUACAUUUACUUAAAUUGUAGAACCCGCAACUGAUGUUGUAGACAAUCACUUGACAAACAAAACAGAAUUGGUGACCCAAAGUGUGAGAAAUAAAACAUUCUGGAUGAAUAAUAAAGAGAUACAGUGGGAGGGAAAAACUGAGGUCUUUUGCUUUUAUAUGAUUCGUUCUUAUUAAUUUUCUCCACACCCUGGGGCAUGUGCACUUGGGAUCUAUGCCCCCACCCACGUGUGCUCCUGGAACCCCUGUGCUGUCCCAGCAACAGUGUAAUCUUCCUUUCUCCUCAAGGACAGGUCUCACCACAGAGGUGUCUCCCCUACAGGAGCCUCCACAGAAGCUUGUCAGGAAAAAUACUCAGAGACUAGGUCUGUGGGUUCAGGAGUUUUUGCCUCACAUCCUCCUUAUCUGAGACGCUGUGACUAAUGAAAGCCGCUCCCACUGCCAUGAGCUGUAGCA